rnacentral:misc_RNA from 1 species
AGCACAUUCCCCAUUAGCUGUCACCCACGUCCCCCACGCAUCAAAGAUACCAACCCCUCUUAAGCAAUUGUACGGCCGAUACCAUCCUUGGACUGCUGCUCCCUUCAUCUUCGCUGUAGAUCAGAUGACUUUCUCGGUAAACCGGUGACUGUUCAGAGUACCGUCUCCAUUGGCGAACGCCAUAAAAUGAAUUCUCCUUUGUUUUUGAUCUCUCCCCUCCUCAACUCCUAAUCUUAAUCUAAAUUGUGUAGUGUCAACGAUCGUCUUUAAUCUCUCGAGGGUACGUUAGAGAAACCCAAUUUCUUUCUGUUAACGGCUAGUUUGUUUUUAGUCUGAUUUCUUCCUUAAAUUUUCUCGGUCUCUUUUUCUAGGAUCAUUUGAUUAACUUUUGAAUUGAUUCUGCCUGCCUUUGACUUUCUUUUAUGUUGCAUUCGUCAUUCUCUGUUCUGCCUUAUAUUGAUUUUGAUUUAAAUUUUGUAUUUUAUCUAGAUUUCUCAUUCAGUUAUUAGGGUUUCGUAGAACUAAAUUUGUGGGGUUUGUUUGGGUUCUCCUUCGAUUCUCUUCAAAUUUUGAAUUUUGGUUUUAAAUCAUUUCUGGGUUUUAGUAAUCUUAGCUUUUUGCAUUUGGGAAUUUGAUUUUUAGCUUUCUUCAAUUCUUUGUUUAGGUUAGCUAUUAUUUUUUAUGGCAUUUGAAUGCCAAAAAAAGCAUUAAGGUGUCGAAAACUUACAAUUGUGAGGAGAAUU